UUCAUCUCUUUCCUUCCCCUCCACUUUCUCAAAACCCUAACCCCAACUUCCUAUUUUUUUUCUACAACACUCUCACCUUAUCUCCAUUUUCACCUCACAUAACACACACUUGCGUGUGUAGUUACCAGAGAGAUCGAGAGAGAGAGAUGAAACCAGUGGAUUUCUAGCCACCCAUGGCAGCCGCAGGUGGCGGCGCACGGUGCUGCACAGCGGUGGCCCCACCCUUCAUCUUUCCCUUCGUAUCUCCGGUGGCAGUCCAAGGUGGAUUUGGGUGGUUGUCACGAAAGUAAAGGGCAGCAGCACAUCAAAAUCGAAAUCGAAAAUCGAAUCUUUGUUAUUUACCUCCUUCCAUGAUUUCAAGCUGCAUUUGCUCAUCGAUUUGGUCAAUCUGCAUGUUUGACUUCUCACCACCUCUGAAAUAUCUGGGUUUGAUGAUGAUAUGUUCUUGAAGAUCUGGGUAAGAAGACGAAGAUGUUCUUGAAGAUCUGGGUUUGAAAGUGGUUUGAAGAUCUCAUGUGAAGAUGAUAAUUAUUGUUUCUUUUAUUUUUUAUAAAUCAGUAAAAGUAAAGGGGGAGGGGAAAUUACAAUUUUACCCAUCAUAUGCAACCCAUGUGACCAAGAAGUUAACCAGAGUUGGGGUUUGGUUAGAAUUAGGGGCCAAAAUGGUUAGAUAUAGGGACCAUGGGGGCAGAUACGUUAAAAAUUCUUAUUUUGGGCUAAUACAGUAAAACUGACAUAA